CAGAGAGACAGAGAGACAGAGAGAGAGAGAGAGAGACAGUACGGAGAGAGACAAUACGGCGACAAACACUCUGCACUACAGUAUGAACAUAGUACGAGCAGCCACUGGUGAUGUACAGUCCUAGACUAGAGUGAUAGGAUGUACAACCUAGCGAUGUUAUCACCAAUAGGAACAGCCGGACCUACUUUGCUAUGGUGUGUUUGUUCAUGUGUUACCCCCAUGUAUGUCUUGCUCAGAUAAGGGCGAAUCGUCAUACGGCGACCCAUUCCAACACAGUACCUUCAUCAAGGACAUUUUACCUUGGUUGCGAAAACUACCAGCGACGACAUUUCGAAACAAGGCGCAAGAUGCCGGGUUCUUCACCGAUCUGCAGCAGAUACGUGCCUUGACGAGGACUGAGAGGCAACAUGGAACGCCCAGUCACAACGAAGAAUUGAUCGAAAUCGUGAGCAGCGAGGAACAGGCUGGCUUCAUCAAGCUGGUCAAAGUCAUCAAGCACUGGGGGAAAUAUCCCGACAAGGUCGACAAGAUGAACCAGCUUCUGCCGCGGCGGGCCCGUGUGUAAACGAUUGUCAGUUGCUGAAUCUGCUGUAAAAACAUCCCUUCACCCAGUUUCUACUACCUAGUUGCCCGACGGUCACAUACUCCACAGCAACUCUGUCAAGAACAUCACGCAAUGUAUUGGUCGCUCUUUGUCUCUGUCUCUCUGUGUCUCUGUCUCUCCGUCUCUCUCUCUCUCUCUCUCUCUCUCUCUCUCUCUCUCUCUCUCUCUCUCUCUCUCUCUCUAUCUAUCUAUCUCUCUCUCUCUCUCUCUCUCUCUCUCUCUCUCUCUCUCUCUCUCUCUUUUGCAUUGUGCGUUCUCCAUCUCACUGACCAGUGAUCAUGCUUCUCACCAAAUCCACUCUUCCUUAAUAGUAUCUGCUCUUCCUUAUAGCAAUGUUAUGUUAUGUUUGUUCGUUACCCUACUAUAUUAUGUGUAAAUGAAAAAUACUAAUGAUCGAGUAGUCGAGUAGUCGAGUAGGCUAAACAGUAGAGACAGCUACUUGUAGAGGACCACACCAGGUUACUAUGCCCGUUACGGAAUGCCUACCUAUAGCCAUGGGGUUACGUGAAACCUCUUUCUUUUGCUAGCAUUUUAUGAAUGCAUGGAAUGGAAUAUUUUCACGAGGGUGUGGGGCUUAGAAUAUUUUACUGAUAUAAUUAUUUCGGUGAAAUUAGUUUUUGAAAUUUCAGUUGCUUGUAGAUCUUCAGUUACUAGUUCCUGUCUUUUUAUCUUUUAUUUCAUGGAGAAGGCGGAGAGCCCGAACGUGCCGGAGUUGUUACCGAUUUUGCGGAAUUUUUUUAUUACAAAGCAUAUAAGUUUAGGCUUUCUGAUAAUGAUAUGCAUUUUUUUUAUAUUCAA